GGCCUCUUUUAAUUUUUUGGAUUCGAGCGUCACUGAUGAGUCUUUUGUAGACGAAACGCGCGUCUGGCGUAUAUUAAGAUUUAGUCCUGGUAUCUAUGAGUUUAUUUAUAACCACUGGGUCGAUGCCACUGCUGGUGGAGAUUUAUUUCCCCGAGGGUAUUACAAGCCCAGUAGUCAGCACUGUUUUUGUGCUGACAUGAAUUAACAUUGAACUUGUUAUAUUUAUAAAUUAACUGUUUACAAAAUUUAGAAUUUUUUGAAAUACUAAGGCUUUUCUACCUCAGGCAUAGAUUACCUUAGCAAAACUUUUAUGAAUUUUGGUCCUCAAUGCUCUUCAACAUCGUACAUUAUUUGGCCUCUUUUACUUUUUUGGAUUCGAGCGUCACUGAUGAGUCUUUUGUAAACGAAACGCGCGUCUGGCGUAUAUAUAAGAUUUAGUCCUGGUAUCUAUGAGUUUAUUUAUAACCACUGGGUCGAUGCCACUGCUGGUGGAGAUUUAUUUCCCCGAGGGUAUUACAAGCCCAGUAGUCAGCACUGUUUUUGUGCUGACAUGAAUUAUCAUUGAACUUGUUAUAUUUAUAAAUUAACUGUUUACAAAAUUUAGAAUUUUUUGAAAUACUAAGGCUUUUCUACCUCAGGCAAAGAUUACCUUAGCAAAACUUUUAUGAAUUUUGGUCCUCAAUGCUCUUCAACAUCGUACAUUAUUUGGCCUCUUUUACUUUUUU
rnacentral:lncRNA from 1 species